rnacentral:rRNA from 1 species
UACAGAGGGUGCGAGCGUUGUUCGGAAUUAUUGGGCGUAAAGGGCGCGUAGGCGGGCGCCACAAGUCACUUGUGAAAACUCUGGGCUCAACUCAGAGCCUGCAGCGAAACUGUGGUGCUGGAGUAUGGGAGAGGUGCGUGGAAUUCCCGGUGUAGCGGUGAAAUGCGUAGAUAGUCGGGAGGAACACCUGAGGCGAAGGCGGGCUACUGGGCCGAUACUGACGCUGAGGCGCGAAAGCCAGGGGAGCAAACGGG